rnacentral:rRNA from 1 species
UACGGGGGGAGCAAGCGUUGUUCGGAUUUACUGGGCGUAAAGGGCGCGUAGGCGGCGCAACAAGUCACUUGUGAAAUCUCCGGGCUUAACCCGGAGCGGCCAAGUGAUACUGUCGUGCUAGAGUGCGGAAGGGGCUACUGGAAUUCUCGGUGUAGCGGUGAAAUGCGUAGAUAUCGAGAGGAACACCUGCGGCGAAGGCGGGUUGCUGGGCUGACACUGACGCUGACAGCGCGAAAGCUAGGGGAGCGAACGGG